UCCAAGGGCUUCCCCACCACACAGUGCU
rnacentral:piRNA from 1 species